rnacentral:piRNA from 1 species
UGGAGUAAGUAUUACUUUAUAUAAUGUGAC